UUGUUCACGCGAUGGUUUCCUGCUCCACUGAGGCUCGUUAACAGUCCACCUGAUUCUUCUUAGCUCUUAGAGGUGACCUGAUCGCUGCCUUCAUAACAGGAACAUGAGAGGCCAAGUGUCCAGCUCUUUGGCUGUCUUUUGGCAGAUAAUGUAGGCACCAUGAAAUAUUAGGACUGAAUUUACUGGGUUGCCUGAAAGAAUGCAUGAGGCUUAUGAACCGAAGUUCUCAAGACGCCGUCUGUCAGGUAACAAAAGACAGUGUUUCCUGAGGGAUGAGGGAUGGUAAACAAAUGAGGUGAGUUUUAUCGUUACCCAACUGAAUCAUAAGUAACUGAGGUAAGCCCUGGGUUUCCCCAGCUAGCUGCCAUGAGAGAUUUUUCAGGCUGAGGCAAAGGGGGGAACCCAGGCAAAUCCAGGCGAACUCCUUAAGGUGAUGAACCAGAGCCCAGAGCCUGGGAAGGGCCAGCCAACUAGAGUUUGUUCAGCAAACAGAGGAGAAAGCAUGUAAAGUGGUCAAGUUCCAGAGACUUCAGAGGCCUCCUCGGGUGUUUAGCUACAAACUGAUUAACACAUUUAUUAAAUGAAACUACCCAAGGUUGUGGAAAGAACAACCAAAAAGAAAUAGAAGUAACAUUUCUAGGAGAUGCAGAACCUGGAAUAGUUCCUAUUCCCAACAGUUACUGAUUCACAGGCACCGGGAAGAGUGUAAAGAAGUGUCUUGCCUCAGUAGGGCGCAUACUUAGCCCAUCACAGAGAACAAUGCCAGUUUUGCCUUAAACAUUUUGGAAGCACGAUUCUAAAGGAAAACUGGCAUAACUGUAUUCAAAAACAAAGACUGUGAAUAUCUAUAGGAAUUCAAAAAUAUUCAGCAACCAAUAAGGUAAAUUCCCAGUGACUAGCAUCCUAUUAAAAAUUACUAGACUGCAAGUAAAGAAGUAAACCCAUGAAAGGAAAACAUUAGUCAAUCAAAAUUAACACAUAACUGACACAGAUGAUAGUCACAUGAAAACCCUUAUUAUAACUGCAUUUCAUGGUCAAGACAGACCAUAUUCUGUGCCCUAAAACAAACUUCUAUAAAAUGAAAAAGAUUUAAGCUCAUAGAAACGGUCCUACCAUUAAAUAGUGGCACUAAAUUAUGAAUCAAUAACUGAAAGACCUCUGGAAGAUCUCCCAAAUUUGGUAAUUAAAUAACACAACUUAAAUAACUCAUUUACUAAAAAGACCAAAGAAUAAAUUAGAAAAUAUGUUUGCAUGUAAUGAAAAUGAAAACAUGGCAUAUUAAAAUGUGUGUGAUGCUACUAACAUGAUACUUUGGAGGCAAAUUUUAGUGCUAAAUGUCAAUACUAGGAAAGAAGGGUCUUAAAUCAAUAACCUUAGAUUCCACCACCAAGGAACCAAAGAAAGAUGAGCAAGUUAAAACCAAAAUAAGUAAGAGAAAGUCAGUAAUGAAGAUCAAAGUGGAAAUCGAUUACAUGUAAAACAAAAAGAGGAGAGAAAAUCAGUGUCACCAAAUGGAGAUUAUUUGAGAAGAUACAUAAAAUUGAUAAACCUCUACCUAGUUUGAUCAGGAAAACAGAUAUGACACACUUAACUAAUAUCAGGAAUGAGCAUGGUGAUACCACUAGAAAAUAUACUGACAUCAUCAGGCUAGUAGGGGAAUAUUAUAAAAAUUUUAUCCCAAUACAUUUAAAACACAAAAUUUGUAAAUGCCUCAAAAGAUACAAACUACCAAGCUCACUUAAAAAGAAACAAGUAAACCGAGUACACUAUGUCUACUAAAGAUAUUGAAUUUGUUCAAACAAACUCUUGAUAUUGAUUGCCUUAUUAAUAAAAUCUAUCAAAUAUUUAAAGAAGAAGCAAUACCAAUUCUAGAAAACCUUAUGGGAAACUUAAAAGUGGAUACUUUCCAACUAAUUUUAUGAGCCUAGCAUUACCCUAAUGCUAAAAGCAGACAAAGACAUUACAAGUGAGAGAUGUUUAUACCAAUACACCAUUGUAACAUUAAAAGACCAAAACAAAUUGUUAGUUAUUCAUGUGCAACAGUACAUAAAAGAAAUGAUGCAUCAUAUUCAAGUGGAAUCUAUCCAAUGAAUGCAAGGUUGGUUAAGCAAUUAAGUGAAAAUCAAUGUUAUUCACUAUAUCAACAAACAAAAUCACCUCAUCAUCUCAAUCAACUCCAAAAGCUAAUUAAAUAAAAUCCAGAGUCCAUUAUUGAUAAAAACAAAAACAAAAAGACUCUCAUCAAAAUAAAGAAUAGAAUGGAACUGCUUCAAAUUGAUAAUGGACCAAAAAAUAGCUACAACUAAUACAUUUAAUGAAUGGUAAAAGAUUGAAUGAUCCCCCCCCCCC